GUACACGCCGUAAACGAUGUCUACUUGGAGGUUGUGGCCUUGAGACCGUGGCUUUUCGGAGCUAAACGCGUUAAGUAGACCGUCUGGGGAGUACGGUCGCAAGAUUAAAACUCAAAUGAAUUGACGGGGGCCCGCACAAGCGGUGGAGCAUGUGGUUUAAUUCGAUGCAACGCGAAAGAACCUUACCUACUCUUGACAUCCAGAGAACUUUCCAGAGAUGGAUUGGUGCCUUCGGGAACUUUGAGACAGGUGCUGCAUGGCUGUCGUCAGCUCGUGUUGUGGAAUGUUGGGUUAAGUCCCGCAACGAGCGCAACCCUUAUCCUUGUUUGCCAGCACGUAAUGGUGGGAACUCCAGGGAGACUGCCGGUGAUAAACCGGAGGAAGGUGGGGACGACGUCAAGUCAUCAUGGCCCUUACGAGUAGGGCUACACACGUGCUACAAUGGCGUAUACAGAGGGCUGCCAACCAGCGAUGGUGAGCGAAUCCCAGAAAGUACGUCGUAGUCCGGAUUGGAGUCUGCAACUCGACUCCAUGAAGUCGGAAUCGCUAGUAAUCGUGAAUCAGAAUGUCACGGUGAAUACGUUCCCGGGCCUUGUACACACCGCCCGUCACACCAUGGGAGUGGGCUGCACCAGAAGUAGAUAGCUUAACCUUCGGGAGGGCGUUUACCACGGUGUGGUUCAUGAGCUGGGGUGAAGUCGUAACAAGGUAACCAAGGG
rnacentral:rRNA from 2 species